UACAUUAAUUUCCGCACCCAUGCGGGCCAAUAAAAUCACGGAUCGCUUUCGGAUUUUGUCAGUCGGCAUCGUCGAAAUAAUCGGCGGGACUGUUGAUGUGGUUUGCUAACCUCACUUUCAAUUUUCAGCUUUGAGCUUUGAGUUUUUGAAACGUUUUGUUGUUUAUUUACAAUUUGUGCGACCAAGAGUAAUUAUUAUUAAUUACAUUAUCUUGUUUCCUUGUAAAUUCAAAACACCACUGUAUAUUUACAUUAAUUUACUACACCUUUAUUCGGUGAACAUGGAUAUAAACAGGAAUUUGGCAGAGUUUGAAAUUUGGAGGUCUGCAGAAAACAGAGAGGUAGAUUAUGCUGUUCAUCGAAGAAAGAAAUGUGCUAAUGGGGAAGAAUUUAUUUACUAUAAUUGUAAUAGAAGUGAUUCAAAAGGAUAUGUCAGUACAUGUUUGCAACGGAAUUUAAAGUCUAAAGGAAGCAUUCGUAUGCAAGGAAUUUGUCCAUCAAGAAUAAUAGCUAAAAU